rnacentral:rRNA from 1 species
GACGAACGCUGGCGGCGUGCUUAACACAUGCAAGUCGAACGCUGAAGCUCAGCUUGCUGGGUGGAUGAGUGGCGAACGGGUGAGUAACACGUGAGUAACCUGCCCUCUUCUUUGGGAUAACGCCCGGAAACGGGUGCUAAUACUGGAUAUUCACUGAUUCUCGCAUGGGGGUUGGUGGAAAGGUUUUUUCUGGUGGGGGAUGGGCUCGCGGCCUAUCAGCUUGUUGGUGGGGUGAUGGCCUACCAAGGCUUUGACGGGUAGCCGGCCUGAGAGGGUGACCGGUCACUUUGGGACUGAGAUACGGCCCAGCCUCCACCGGGGGGCAGCAGUGGGGGAUAUGGCACAAGGGGCGAAAGCCUGAUGCAGCGCCGCCGCGUGAGGGAUGGGGGCCUUCGGGUUGUAAACCUCUUUCGCUCAGGGUCAGGCCGCAGCUUGGGGUUGUGGUGAGGGUAGUGGGUAAAGAAGCGCCGGCUAACUACGUG